ACCUCGAGCCACUCUGGAUGUGACCUCACCACAGUUGAUGACUGGAGUGGUUUUAUCCCUUAAUCUGCACAGCAGUAUGACGAUCAGCGGGUUGGUUCAGACCGUCUCACCUCAGUUGAUGCGUCAGACUCCUAAGAAAAGUUUGGUGAGAACCGCGAUGAUCCACACUUCAGCUCGGUCCAUACGUCGAGUGCAUGUAACCUGAAGUCAGAGGCUUCCGGCUGAACACACAGGUUCGCCUUGAGCACUGGUGUCAAACUUGAGGCCCGGGGGCCAGAUCCGGCCCACCGCAUCAUUUUAUGUGGCCCGCGAAGGCAAAUCAUCAGUGUCGAAAUCUGUGAUUCUUCUGAAAAUUUGUCCCAAUAUUUCAAAUCGUCAUAAAUGAUAAUGUUGAAAUAUUAUCAGCAUUUUUGUAUUACCAAACAUGAACAAUGGUUGAAAAACCCAUUACGCUUAAUUUCUGAUUCCAGAACUAGUUCAUAAAUUUCAUGUGUAAAUAUGAUGAAGCGAUUCAGGAUUUCUAUGGUUUCACCAUAACGAGCCUCUGAGGGAAAUUGUAACUACAAUGUGGCCUGCGACAAAAAUUAGUUUGACACCCCUGACCUAGAGGAAGGAUGACCGUGACGUCAUCUCGGAUGGGUCUCAACUCACCGGGUGUCGCCUUGCCUCGGAUUUCUCUUACCACAUCUCGCUCAAUAUGCGGGGCGCCUUCGAGCUUGAAUG